rnacentral:lncRNA from 1 species
GGGCCGCUGUCCCUGUCCAGCCUCCUGGAGACCCUCGACACCUUCGACCUGGGGGGGGGCGAGGGCGAGGAGCCCGGGGGGGGUCCGGGCGGGGUCGGGGGGUCCCCCCAGAGCCCCCCGGACCCCCCGCCCCCCCCACGCCGCUCCGACAGCCUGGAGGAGCUGCUGGCCCAGGUGGGUGCUGGGGGGGAGGGGGUUUUGGGGUGGGGGUCUCUGUGCCCCCCCGCCUUGCUCAGUGCCCCACCCCCACCCUCAGGAGGAGGUGAAGACCCCCCCGGAGCCCCCCCCGGAGCCCCCCCAGGAGGUUUGGGCUGAGCUGGUCGAUGCUGCCACCCCCGUGCCGGACUUCGAGCAGCUGCUGCCCGAGCCCGCCCACAAGUGGCCGUUCCGCCCAGACCCGUUCCAGCAGCGGGCGGCUCUGUGCCUCGAGCGCGGUCACUGCGGGGUUUUGGGGGUUUUGGGGGUUUUGGGGUGCCCUGGAUGGUUUUGGGGUGCCCCGGGAGGUUUUGGGGNNNNNNNNNNAGGUUUUGGGGUGCCCCAGAGCCCCGAUUUGCCCGCAGUGGCCGUUCUGCCCAGACCCGUUCCAGCAGCGGGCGGCUCUGUGCCUCGAGCGCGGUCACUCGGUGCUGGUGGCCGCCCACACCUCGGCCGGUAAGACGGCGGUGGCCGAGUACGCCAUCGCGCUGGCCCGGCGCCACAUGACCCGGUGAGACCCCCAAAACCCCUCGGGGGGGCCCCCAAAACCCCUCGGGGGUCCCAAAAACCCCUCAAGGGGCCCCAAAAACCACCUCAGGGGUCCCAAAAACCGCCUCAGAGGUCCCAAAAACCACCUCAGGGGUUCCAAAAACCCCUCAGGGGUCCCAAAAACCACCUCAGGGGUCCCAAAAUCCACCUCAGGGGUCCCAAAAACCAUCCCGGGGAUCCCAAAAGCCACCCCAGGGGUCCCAAAACCAGUUCUGGGGGCCCUAAACCACCUUCGGGGUCCUAAAACCACCUUGGGGGUCCCAAAACUGCCUCAGGGAUCUCCAACACCACCUUGGGAGUCUCUGGGGUGACCCCCCCGUGUCCCCAAACCCCUCCCUGGCU